rnacentral:rRNA from 1 species
UACAGAGGUCCCAAGCGUUGUUCGGAAUUACUGGGCGUAAAGGGCUCGUAGGCGGCCAACUAAGUCAGACGUGAAAUCCCUCAGCUUAACUGGGGAACUGCGUCUGAUACUGGAUGGCUUGGAUUUGGGAGAGGGAUGCGGAAUUCCAGGUGUAGCGGUGAAAUGCGUAGAUAUCUGGAGGAACACCGGUGGCGAAGGCGGCAUCCUGGACCGGCAUUGACGCUGAGGAGCGAAAGCCAGGGGAGCAAACGGG